rnacentral:rRNA from 1 species
AUGGCCGCGCCGUUCCUCUUGAUCCGGACGGGCAUCGGCACGCCGAGCCGUCCGGAAGAAGAACAACCGGAGUUAGCCCAAGGGCUCGCCGGAAAAGGAGAAGGGGGGCACCGCAGCCAAACCGCUCGACAGCGGCGCGCUCACCGCGAGGUGGACGCGCAGCCGGCGAGGGGGAAGGCCACGGCGCCGCCGUCGGAACCUCCGCCACAGUCGUCGUCCAGAUCGAAAAAGAGGAGGCGCUGGUGGUGGAGACAUAGAGGAGAGGACAGGGGGGAAAGGGGGAGGAGAGGGUGGCGCGCAGCGCGGUGGCUUCAGGUCGCCGUCGCCGGCGGCCAGACUUAG